rnacentral:rRNA from 1 species
UGCGUAGGCGGGCUAAUAAGUCAGUGGUGAAAUCUCUCGGCUCAACCGGGAAACUGCCAUUGAUACUGUUAGUCUUGAGUUCGGUUGAGGUAGGCGGAAUGUGUAAUGUAGCGGUGAAAUGCUUAGAUAUUACACAGAACACCAAUUGCGUAGGCAGCAUACUAGACCGACACUGACGCUGAGGCACGAAAGCGUGGGGAGCGAACAGGAUUAGAUACCCUGGUAGUCC